AGACCCACCGGCAGACAGGCGGACCGGGCGCUCGGCUGUCGCUGUUCUCCGCGCGGCGGCUGCGGGGCUUCUGACUUGGAGAACAAUGAAGCGUGAGCUGGAGGGGAGCGAGCGGGCCGCCGGGAGCGCACUGUGUACAAACAGAGGCGGCGUGCGUAGCCUUUGGAAGGAAUUGGGCCAUGAGAAGAGCCCUCAUGAAUGGGAUUAGUUCCCUUAUAAGAAGAGACACCAAGGAAGUGAUCUUUCUCUGCCCUCUGCUAUGUGAAGACAAGGUCAUCUGCAGUUUUUUGUUGUUGUUGAUGAUCUUCCUGUCAUAGACAAUGCUGUAACAAACAGACUAAUUGUUCACUGUUGACAUAUAGAAGUACUACUGAUUGGCCAGACAUAGUGGCUCAUGCCUGGAAUCCCAGCACUUUGGGAGGCCAAGGCAGGUGGAUCACUUGAGCCCAGAAGUUUGAGACCAGCCUGGGCAACAUGAUGAAACCCCAUCUCUACAAAAUAAAUAGAAAAAUUAGCUGGGUAUGGUGGCAUGUGCCAGUAGUCCCAGCUACAUGGGAGCCUGAGGUGGGAGGACGACUUGAGCCCAGGAGGUGGAGGUUACAGUGAGCUGAGAUCAUGCCACUGCACUCCAGCCUGGGUGACAGAGUGGGACUCUGUCUAAAAAAAAAAUUGUAUUAUCUGUAAACGGAAA
rnacentral:lncRNA from 1 species